AUUACAUUACAGCUCUACAAUGCACCAGACGGACCCAUCUGGAUUCUUUCGGGGCUCUUAGCCCUAGAAAUAGCAUCAUUUCUUCAAACUGGAUGCUGGGCAAGGCUGGCAGGCCCGGGAGAGCCUGUGGCCAGCCUGGGUCCAGGAAGUGGGCAGCUGCCACAGAGGGGCCUCCGAGGCUAGCUGCCUCCUAACUUCCUCACGGCACACCAUUCUGCCGUCCUGAGUCUUCUCAAGGUUGGAAGGUGCCCAGAUCCAGGGAGAUGGUGCUGGCUCUUUGGUGGCUGUGGAGUGUCCAGACAGAUGAGCUGGAAUCCUUCAGUUUCUCUGCCUCUCCUGUCAAGUUGGGGUAGCACUGCUUGGACUCUUGCCCCGGCUGCAUUGACCAAGCCUUGAUGUUGCCUUGACCAAGCCUUGAUGUUGCCUUCUUUGCCAAACCACUGGCCACGAUGUUGCUGGCACAGCAGCCCAAAGGCAGCUGCUUGUCCAUCUCAGCCUGACCCAGCCUUCAUGCGGGCUCCAUCUCAGCCAUUGUAAAGCAAGCUCCUAGUUCUAGUUCUCCCCCACAAAUUUUAUUGCUAAAUAAACAAUUAAGCUACCCCUUUAAA
rnacentral:lncRNA from 1 species